GCCGUCACCGCAAAGAAAGACAAUAAGAGAUCGAAACGGAGCAAAUCCAGAGGAACGCGGAAAACCGCAGCAGCUCGAGGAGAAGCCCCAAAAAACAAAAAGCAAAAAAAAAAAUUCAAAGAGGAGGGAGGAAGGGACCGAGGUAAAUCUCGCCGAACGAUCCGCUGCCGAUCUUGCGGCCGAGCCGGAACUUGUUGCCGACGCGGGGCUCCAUGGAGGCGGAGGCGGAGGCGGAGGCGGAGGCGGCGGCGGCGAUCGGCGGCCGGGAAACCCUAACGCUGCGUGCGGGAGAGGCGACCGCUGAAUGAAAUUCUAUCUCUCCAUCAAAGGCGCCAGGGAGGGGAAGGACAAAGACGCUAGAGAGAGAAAGUGGGUGUGGGU
rnacentral:lncRNA from 1 species